GAUGAACGCUGGCGGCGUGCCUAAUACAUGCAAGUCGAGCGAAUGGAUUAAGAGCUUGCUCUUAUGAAGUUAGCGGCGGACGGGUGAGUAACACGUGGGUAACCUGCCCAUAAGACUGGGAUAACUCCGGGAAACCGGGGCUAAUACCGGAUAACAUUUUGAACCGCAUGGUUCGAAAUUGGAAGGCGGCUUCGGCUGUCACUUAUGGAUGGACCCGCGUCGCAUUAGCUAGUUGGUGAGGUAACGGCUCACCAAGGCAACGAUGCGUAGCCGACCUGAGAGGGUGAUCGGCCACACUGGGACUGAGACACGGCCCAGACUACUACGGGAGGCAGCAGUAGAGAAUCUUCCGCAAUGGACGAAAGUCUGACGGAGCAACGCCGCGUGAGUGAUGAAGGCUUUCGGGUCGUAAAACUCUGUUGUUAGGGAAGAACAAGUGCUAGUUGAAUAAGCUGGCACCUUGACGGUACCUAACCAGAAAGCCACGGCUAACUACGUGCCAGCCGCCGCUGUAA
rnacentral:rRNA from 1 species